CCCCUCUCCUGUUUGUCUGUCCGACGUUGCGAUUGGAGUGCGUUCAGACCAUUUUCUCUUCCCAUCUCCCAUACACGCGCCACGCCUCCACCCAGAAUUCCCAAUUCCACGGCCUCCUGCCGCCGGCGCAAGCUCGCCGCCUCGACGAAAUUCCUCUGCCCCCUUCCACCGGCCCGGCGCGGAGUGGAGAUCCGCCCGCGCCGAUUCAUUCUGCUGGUCUGGUUAGAUACUCCAUUGCUCCAUCUACAAAACGAAGGACACAUAAAAGAACAAAGGAGGUGAAAGGAAGAAAGGACUAGAGGCGAGGAAAUAAUAAUGGGAAAGGGAGAUGUGGCCACGAGGUCCAAAUCCCAGAAAUCGUCGACAGUACAGGUCUGUGUGAACAAACUGAACUGCGUGAGUAAGUAUUGUCACUGUCUUACCUUGUUUUACUUGUUUCAGAAUGAACAGAGUACACCUACUAAUCCUCCUACAGCAUAUCCUGACUGGUCCCAGUUUCAGGCAUACUAUAAUGUCCCUGGCACGGCUCAAAUGACCCCACCGGCUUAUUUUCAUUCAACGGUGGCUCCAAGUCCUCAGGGGCAUCCAUAUAUGUGGGGUCCACAGAUGAUGCCUCCUUACGGGACGCCGCCACCAUACGCAACGAUGUAUGCUCAAGGCACACCAUAUCAGCAGGCACCUAUGCCACCGGGCUCACACCCAUACAGCCCAUAUCCUGUUCAAGCACCAAAUGGGACAGUUCAAACUCCUACAUCUGGUGCCGGAGGGUCAGAGACAGAUAAGUCAAACAAAAAUAAGCGGAAGACACCCCUGAAGAGAUCCAAAGGAAGCUUAGGUAGUCUGGAUGUAGUUACAGUAAAAGAUAAAACGCCACCUCCAAAAUCUUUAGUGUCAUCCUCCAAUGAAGGUUCUUCACAAAGCGAGAGUGGAAGCGGAAGUUAUUCUGGAGGAAGCAGUACAAAUUCUAAAAGUGGUUCACAGACAAAGGAUGGUUCUGAGCAUGGUCCGGCUAAUGAUGCUAGCAAUAAAGGAGUCACUGCUCAGGGCACGGCAGUUGAGCCCACACAAGUAUCUUCUGGGCCAGUUGUGCUUAACCCUAUGAUGCCAUAUUGGCCUGUUCCCCCUCCCAUGCCUGGCCAAGCAACUGGUGUAAACAUGGGAAUGGAUUACUGGGGUGCUCCUACUUCUGUACCUAUGCAUGGCAAAGCUGUCGCUGCACCGACAUCAGCUCCUUCAUCAAAUUCUCGUGAUAUCGUUCUCAGUGAUCCGGUCAUACAGGAUGAACGAGAAGUGAAGAAACAAAAACGGAAGCAAUCAAACAGGGAAUCAGCUCGUCGCUCUAGAUUGCGCAAGCAGGCUGAAUGGGAGGAAGUAGCCAGUCGAGCUGAUUUGCUGAAGCAGGAGAACAGUUCACUUAAGGAAGAAUUGAAACAGCUUCAGGAGAAGUGUGAUAGCUUGACCUCAGAAAAUACAUCUUUACAUGAAAAGCUUAAAGCGGUUGAUAGUGAGAAACCAAAUGGAAACUUGUGAAGCAGUGAAGGCCGCGGCCUCACUUUCUGACUGCUGAUAUAAAUUGGAGUGACAUGAUAGGUCGGGGAGAUAAUUAGGAGGUGUUCAUGUGUGCAAUUAGAUUUUUGGCUGAGAUGAUAGGAUUGUAUCAUAGGAUUCAACAUGAUGGUUUACAGAUUCUUCUUCUUCCGGACGUGGCAGCCGCCGUGCGCUAUGGUGUCUCUUUUUUCCCUGCUUUUGUGUGAGAUGCUACCUUAGCAGUAUGUGAAGAUCCCCAAGUUAUGUUUGAGACUUUGCGGGAUUAGCUUAUAAGAUGCUUGUUGUAGAGCUGAACUGAUGCUUGUUAUAGUUGUGAUUUAUAAACAUUCAGAGUAACUUACCAAUGUGUAUACUGCACUGAGACUGAGUGAUGAGUGGUGUUUGAAGGAA